CAGCAGCCGCGGGAAUACGUAGGUGGCAAGCGUUGUCCGGAAUUAUUGGGCGUAAAGGGCUCGCAGGCGGUUUCUUAAGUCUGAUGUGAAAGCCCCCGGCUCAACCGGGGAGGGUCAUUGGAAACUGGGAAACUCGAGUGCAGAAGAGGAGAGUGGAAUUCCACGUGUAGCGGUGAAAUGCGUAGAGAUGUGGAGGAACACCAGUGGCGAAGGCGACUCUCUGGUCUGUAACUGACGCUGAGGAGCGAAAGCGUGGGGAGCGAACAGGAUUAGAUACCCGCGUAGUCCCUGUCUCUUAUAC
rnacentral:rRNA from 1 species